rnacentral:rRNA from 1 species
GAACCGCUGGCGGCGCGCUUAAUGCAUGCAAGUCGAACGGUCUUCAAGGCUUCGGCUCUGAGGACAGUGGCAGACGGCUGAGUAACACGUGAGUAACCUGCCCUGGUAUGGGGAAUAACCCGGGGAAACUCGGGCUAAUACCGCAUACGUCCGGUUGCCAUAAGGUGACCGGGGAAAGGCCUUCGGGUCGUACCAGGAGGGGCUCGCGGCCUAUCAGGUAGUUGGCGGGGUGACGGCCCGCCAAGCCUCAGACGGGUAGCCGGUGUGAGAGCAUGACCGGCCAGACGGGGACUGAGACACGGCCCCGACUCCUACGGGAGGCAGCAGCAGGGAAUCUUGCGCAAUGGGCGAAAGCCUGACGCAGCGACGCCGCGUGGGGGAUGAAGGCCUGCGGGUCGUAAACCCCUUUUGUCGGGGAAGAGAAAGGACGGUACCCGGCGAAUAAGCCUCGGCUAACUACGUGCCAGCAGCCGCGGUAAUACGUAGGAGGCUAGCGUUGUCCGGAUUUACUGGGCGUAAAGGGCGCGUAGGCGGCCGGGUUUGUCUGCCGUGAAAUCUCCCUGCUUAACGGGGAGGGGCCGGUGGAGUACGGCUCGGCUUGAGGACAGUAGAGGCGAGUGGAAUUCCCGGAGGAGCGGUGAAAUGCGUAGAGUUCGGGAGGAACACCAGAGGCGAAAGCGGCUCGCUGGGCUGGUCCUGACGCUGAGGCGCGAAAGCGUGGGGAGCAAACCGGAUUAGAUACCCGGGUAGUCCACGCCCUAAACGAUGCGCACUUGGUCUGGGGGGUAUCGACCCCCCCCGGGUCGAAGCUUACGCGAUAAGUGCGCCGCCUGGGAACUACGGCCGCAAGGCCAAAACUCAAAGGAAUUGACGGGGGCCCGCACAAGCAGCGGAGCGUGUGGUUUAAUUCGAUGCAAAGCGAAGAACCUUACCAGGGCUUGACAUGUCGGUGGUACCCUCCCGAAAGGGUAGGGGACCCCUCGGGGAGCCGUCACAGGUGCUGCAUGGCUGUCGUCAGCUCGUGCCGUGAGGUGUUGGGUUAAGUCCCGCAACGAGCGCAACCCUCGUGACUAGUUGCACUCUCUAGUCAGACUGCCCCUGAUGAAGGGGAGGAAGGUGGGGAUGACGUCAAGUCAGCAUGGCCCUUACGCCCUGGGCGACACACACGCUACAAUGGGUAGGACAACGGGCAGCCACGCCGCGAGGCGGAGCAAAUCCUUAAACCUACCCCCAGUUGGGAUUGCAGGCUGCAACCCGCCUGCAUGAACGCGGAGUUGCUAGUAACCGCAGAUCAGCCCUACUGCGGUGAAUACGUUCCCGGGCCUUGUACACACCGCCCGUCACGUCAUGGAAGCCGGUAACACCUGAAGUCGCUGGGCUAACCCGCAAGGGACGCAGGCGCCGAAGGUGGGAUCGGUGACUGGGACGAAGUCGUAACAAGGUAGCUGUACCGG